GACGAACGCUGGCGGCGUGCUUAACACAUGCAAGUCGAAGAUAGUGGCGAACGGGUCAGUAAUACGUGGGUAACCUGCCCUCCUUUUUGGGAUAAGCCUUGGAAACGGGGUCUAAUACCGAAUAAAGGGGGAUGGGCUCGCGGCCUAUCAGCUUGUUGGUGGGGUGAUGGCCUACCAAGGCGGUGACGGGUGGCCGGCAUGAGAGGGGACCCGGCCACAUGGUGACGGAGAUACGGCCCAGAAUACGAAGGAGGGCAGCAGUGGGGGUUAUUGCACAAUGGGUGAAAGCGUGAUGCAGCGACGCCGCGUGGGGGAUGAAGGCUUUCGGGUUGUAAACCUCUUUCGCAAUCGAACGGGUAGUUGGAGAAGAAGCGCCGGCUAACUACGUGCCAGCAGCCGCGGUAAUUC
rnacentral:rRNA from 1 species